rnacentral:rRNA from 1 species
UACAGAGGGUGCAAGCGUUAAUCGGAAUUACUGGGCGUAAAGCGAGCGUAGUCGGUUAUUUAAGUCGGGUGUGAAAUCCCCGGGCUCAACCUGGGAAUUGCAUUCGAUACUGGAUAGCUAGAGUUCGGCAGAGGGAAGCGGAAUUUCCGGUGUAGCGGUGAAAUGCGUAGAUAUCGGAAGGAACAUCAGUGGCGAAAGCGGCUUCCUGGACCAGAACUGACGAUCAGGCUCGAAAGCGUGGGGAGCAAACAGG